GUAGGUGGCAAGCGUUGUCCGGAAUUAUUGGGCGUAAAGCGCGCGCAGGCGGUUCUUUAAGUCUGAUGUGAAAGCCCACGGGCUCAACCGUGGAGGGUCAUUGGAAACUGGAGAACUUGAGUACAGAAGAGGAAAGCGGAGUUCCACGUGUAGCGGUGAAAUGCGUAGAGAUGUGGAGGAACACCAGUGGCGAAGGCGGCUUUCUGGUCUGUAACUGACGCUGAGGCGCGAAAGCGUGGGGAGCAAACAGGAUUAGAUACCCUGGUAGUCCACGCCGCAAACGAUGAGUGCUAAGUGUUAGGGGGUUUCCGCCCCUUAGUGCUGCAGCUAACGCAUUAAGCACUCCGCCUGGGGAGUACGGCCGCAAGGCUG
rnacentral:rRNA from 1 species